UACGUAGGUGGCGAGCGUUGUCCGGAUUUACUGGGCGUAAAGGGAGCGUAGGCGGACUUUUAAGUGAGAUGUGAAAUACCCGGGCUCAACUUGGGUGCUGCAUUUCAAACUGGAAGUCUAGAGUGCAGGAGAGGAGAAUGGAAUUCCUAGUGUAGCGGUGAAAUGCGUAGAGAUUAGGAAGAACACCAGUGUCGAAGGUGAUUCUCUGGACUGUAACUGACGCUGAGGCUCGAAAGUAUGGGAGCAAACAUGAUUAGAUA
rnacentral:rRNA from 1 species